AGAGAAUCAUGUGACCAGAGAGGCCAUGUGGUGCUCUGGGAUCUGGGCAUCAGGGCUUCUGGUGCUUGUGGCCGCGCGAGGUUUUACAACACACUACGAAAAGAAAGGAUGCUGUUAUUUUACUACUGAGGUUUUGCGUAAGUUGGGCUACACAUGUUUGGCUAUUCUGGCAGCUGGUUUGUGUUUCAUGGUGAGCGGGACGGGGCUGACGCGGGGACCCCUCUGUUUACACAACAGCACUGACGGCCUAAAGUGGGGACGGCCAUUAAAACAAGACAAAACUGGAGAGCAGCUUUACCUCUAUGCUCCGGAGCGGUGGCCGUCUGCCUGUGUGGAGCCUCGGCGUGUUGUGAUCUGGAAUAUGGCUCUUUUCUCUGUCCUCAUGGCAGCGAGUGGCCUUCAGCUCAUUUUCUGCAUUCUUCAUCUCCUCACCGCCUUACUGGAGUUCAUGUGCAGACCCAGCUUCUGCAAGAAUAAGGUUGUUCCUGUUUGAAAUGACUAGAGGUUGUAUUUAUUUCCUCUCCGUGUGAGAAUGAGAAGGACAUUUUUGGGGGGGUUAAACAGUCAGCUAUGACUGCUUAACUUAUUUUAAACAGAAAGAGAGAGAGAAAAUAGAAAUGGGAAGUGGAUCGGGGAAGCCAGUUUUCACAUCCCUGAAGUUUUUACUGCACUGUCAUCACACACGUCCAGUCUUAAGAGUGAUUUUAGUGACGGUAAACUUUGAAUCCCAGAAACACUUGAACAGAUAAAAUGCCUUGAAUAAUCCAC
rnacentral:lncRNA from 1 species